rnacentral:rRNA from 1 species
AUGCUGGCUCGUCCUCCUCCGAUGUCAUCGCGCCGCGUUGCCGUGAUAGGCGCAGGAGCUGCCGGCCUGGUGGCGGCGCGUGAGCUGAGGCGCGAAGGCCACGUUCCCGUCGUCUUAGAGCGCGCCGCGGCCAUUGGCGGCACCUGGCGCUACGACGCCGGCGUUGACGCCCACUCCAGCGUCUACGCCUCUCUCCGCGUCAACAGCUCCCGCGAGUGCAUGGGCUUUCUCGAUUUCCCCUUCGUUGCUGGCACCGAGGGCGACCCGCGCAGGUUCCCGGGGCACGGGGAGGUGCUCCGGUACCUCGAAGCGUUCGCGCUGCGGUUCGAUCUCCAUGAGCUGGUCCGGCUCCAGACGGAGGUGGUCAGCGUCCGCCGCAGGGUCCAUAACGCGGGCGUAGCGGGAUGGAGUGUCUCGUACUGCUCGAGAAAGGUCGCCGGCGUCGGUAACGGGGUAGAGGAGGAGGUGUUCGACUCCGUGGUUGUCUGCAACGGCCACUUCACCGAGCCCCGCCUCGCCGACAUCGCCGGCAUAGAUGGCUGGCCAGGGAAGCAGAUGCACAGCCACAGCUACCGUGUCCCAGACCCAUUUCACGGGCACGUUGUGGUGGUAGUAGGAUACCGGAGCAGCGGAUUUGACAUUUCGAGGGAAAUUGCUGGGGUCGCCAGAGAGGUCCAUGUUGCCGAUCGCUCGCUACCUUCAGCUGAUUCCACGUGUGAGACUGCCCGCUGUGACAACCUGUCGUUUCAUCCGGUGAUCGAGCGUGCUGAGGAAGAUGGCGGCGUGGUGUUCCAGGACGGCACUCGGGUGAAGGCGGAUGUCAUCAUCCACUGCACAGGAUACAAGUACAACUAUCCAUUCCUCAGUGACGACAACUCUGUUAUCUCUGUUGACGACAAUCGUGUGGGCCAGCUAUACAAGCAUGUCUUCCCGCCGCACUUGGCUCCUCACAUCUCAUUCAUCGGAUUGCCCUUUAAGGGUAUCCUUUUCUCUGUGUUCCAACUCCAAAGCAACUGGGUUGCCGGAGUUCUGUCAGGAAGGAUCGAGCUGCCAUCACAAGAGGAGAUGAUGCGGGAUGUGGUUGUAUUUUACUCAGAGUUGGAAGCUCGCGGUUGCCCCAAAAGAUACACUCAUGACCUUGGAGGAGGCACUACGUAUGAGUAUGACGAUUGGCUCGCGGAGCAAUGCGGGCAAGAGGGUAUAGGCGGGUGGAGGAAAGCGAUGUACAUUGCGGCGAGGAAGAAUGUGGUGAAUCGCCCGGGGAACUACCGGGACGAAUGGGACGACAGCCACUUGCUACCACAAGCGCACCAGGAAUUCACCAAGUAUUUUUGA